rnacentral:rRNA from 1 species
CACUUUUAGAAAAAAUUAAAAGCAAUACCUGCUCAAUGAACUUAAAUAGCUGCAGAUUUUCUGUACUAAGGUAGCAUAAUCAAUUGCCUUCUAAAUCAAGGAUAGAAUGAAAGGUUAAACGAAUUUUAAACUUUUUUAAAAAUAAAAAACUAAUUUAAAAUAUUGGUAAAAAUUCCUAUAAAAAAAGAAAGACGACAAGACCCUAUUGAACUUUACAUAUGUUUAGCUGGGGAAGCACAUUAACAAAAUCUUACAGUUUUUACAAAAAAGAACCUUUCUGAUAAUUGAACAAGUUACCAUAGGGAUAACAGCAUAAUUUAAUUCUAAAGCUCAUAUUUAAAAUAAAGUUUAUGACCUCGAUGUUGAAUAAUAUUCUAGUAAAAGCAAAAAUUUACAAAGAAAGACUGUUCGUCUUUUAAAUAAUUACA